GCUGGGCGUGGUGCCGCAUGCCUGUAAUCCCAGCUACUUGGGAGGCUGAGGCAGGAGAAUUGCUUGAACUCAGGAAGCAAAGGUUGCAGUGAGCUGAGGUUGUGCCACCGCACUCCAGCCUGGGUGACAGAGCAAGACUUUGUCUCAA
ensembl:misc_RNA Metazoa_SRP Metazoan signal recognition particle RNA